rnacentral:rRNA from 1 species
UCUGACUNGAGUGCAGAAGGGGAGAGUGGAAUUCCAUGUGUAGCGGUGAAAUGCGUAGAUAUAUGGAGGAACACCAGUGGCGAAAGCGGCUCUNUGGUCUGUCACUGACGCUGAGGCUCGAAAGCGUGGGUAGCGAACAGGAUUAGAUACCCUGGUAGUNCACGCCGUAAACGAUGAGUGCUAGGUGUUAGGCCCUUUCCGGGGCUUAGUGCCGGAGCUAACGCAAUAAGCACUCCGCCUGGGGAGUACGACCGCAAGGUUGAAACUCAAAGGAAUUGACGGGGGCCCGCACAAGCGGUGGAGCAUGUGGUUUAAUUCGAAGCAACGCGAAGAACCUUACCAGGUCUUGACAUCCCGAUGCUAUUCUUAGAGAUAGGAAGUUACUUCGGUACAUCGGAGACAGGUGGUGCAUGGUUGUCGUCAGCUCGUGUCGUGAGAUGUUGGGUUAAGUCCCGCAACGAGCGUAACCCUUAUUGUUAGUUGCCAUCAUUAAGUUGGGCACUCUAGCGAGACUGCCGGUAAUAAACCGGAGGAAGGUGGGGAUGACGUCAAAUCAUCAUGCCCCUUAUGACCUGGGCUACACACGUGCUACAAUGGUCGGUACAACGAGUUGCGAGCCGGUGACGGCAAGCUAAUCUCUGAAAGCCGAUCUCAGUUCGGAUUGGAGGCUGCAACUCGCCUCCAUGAAGUCGGAAUCGCUAGUAAUCGCGGAUCAGCACGCCGCGGUGAAUACGUUCCCGGGCCUUGUACACACCGCCCGUCACACCACGAGAGUUUGUAACACCCGAAGUC